UUAGUUGGCCCUAGCGCCACAGAGGGCGAU
rnacentral:sRNA from 1 species